UGCCGAUUUGUGUAGUGGUAGCACAGCGGACUUUGAAUCCGUAUGCCCAGGUUCGAGCCCUGGAUCGGCAGCCA
rnacentral:tRNA from 1 species